rnacentral:rRNA from 1 species
UAAGGAAUAUUGGUCAAUGGAGGGAACUCUGAACCAGCCAUGCCGCGUGCAGGAUGACUGCCCUAUGGGUUGUAAACUGCUUUUGUCAGGGAAUAAACCUUUCUACGUGUAGAAAAGCUGAAUGUACCUGAAGAAUAAGGAUCGGCUAACUCCGUGCCAGCAGCCGCGGUAAUACGGAGGAUCCAAGCGUUAUCCGGAUUUAUUGGGUUUAAAGGGUGCGUAGGCGGUCUUAUAAGUCAGUGGUGAAAGACGGCAGCUUAACUGUCGCAGUGCCUUUGAUACUGUAGGACUUGAAUCUAUUUGAAGUGGGCGGAAUAAGACAAGUAGCGGUGAAAUGCAUAGAUAUGUCUUAGAACUCCGAUUGCGAAGGCAGCUCACUAAGUUAGUAUUGACGCUGAUGCACGAAAGCGUGGGGAUCAAACAGGAUUAGAUACCCUGGUAGUCCACGCCCUAAACGAUGAUAACUCGAUGUUUGCGAUACACAGUAAGCGUCCAAGCGAAAGCGUUAAGUUAUCCACCUGGGGAGUACGGUCGCAAGAUUGA